ACGUAGGAUCCAAGCGUUGUCCGGAUUUACUGGGUAUAAAGGGUGCGUAGGCGGCCUUGUGCGUCAGAGGUGAAAUCUCCGGGCUUAACCCGGAGGGUGCCUUUGAUACGGCAGGGCUUGAGUGCGGGAGAGGAUGGUGGAAUUCCCGGUGUAGCGGUGAAAUGCGUAGAUAUGAGGAGGAACACCGGUGGCGAAGGCGGUCAUCUGGCUCGAGACUGACGCUGAGGCACGAAAGCGUGGGGAUCAAACAG
rnacentral:rRNA from 1 species